CGCCGCCGAUUUGCUGUGCCUCCUCAACCGCCAUGUUUACAUUGGCCGCGUCUGGGCACUUCCGUUGUCGUGGACAGUAGGGUCUUCAGUAUUUUUUUUUCUCGACACUACCUCUACGGUUAACUGCGCUACUUUUGUCACUGAAAGUCCUGGGGAUUUAGUGGGAGCGGUGACUGGGGCGCGAGGGCGGGGUCUUGCCCGAACUAAAGAUGGCCGCCGCCAGUGCCUCCCCGCGCAAUUUCACCUCAGGUUCUGGAGCAGCGGGAGCCGCGGGGUUGGCCCCCGCUUCUCCUUACGGAAUUGGCGUAAGGCUGGGAGGCGCUGGUUAAAGAGCCAGCCAGCUCUUGGAAAAUUGCCCUCAGGGUGGGGGCCCCCGGUUAGGCGGUUCUGCUGUGGAGCUGACGUCUUUGUGAAAGAGAAGAGACAGGCAGGUGUCUGUUCUCCUAGUUCUCCUGGCCACCCCAUUUCCUCACUUCCGUGACUUUGUGGGUGGAAAGUGAGGUUAGGCCCUGCUUGCCUGGACACUUCCUUCUUGUCAUGUCUGGUGGUCUGGCGCAGUCGAGAGACCGACUGCUGCAGUUUCAUCACACUUGUUGACUCACCUUGGUCCCUGCUCGCCCUCUGGUUGAGGAAAUGAAUGGACGCAUGAGAAAGAAACUCAGUAACAGUUGAGGAUAUCGGAAGGCGGGAGGUGUCGUCUUAUACGGUCCUUAGAACCUUCCCUCCCUAGUGAGAGUGUUCUUAAGUCGCUAUGAAUGAUCCUUCUUUCGUCCCUGCUUGAAACUGAUGGUUCUGUAAAGUUGGUGCACAAGUUAAGACAUUUUGUAUAAAGUUACUGUGAGCCCUAAAGAAAUGUUCGUAGCAGCACAGCUCUGUCAGUGAAACAGUAUCUACUAAUGGAAUCCCACAUCGUUUAAAAAGUUGGUACACAGACUACUAUGUGAAUUCAGUGAAGUACAGCUAUCAGCAUUUAUGGAGAACGCAAUACUGAGGGGGAAGCAGGUUGCAAAAAUUAUCUAGUAUAAGUAAUGUUUUUAGAAAGGUUUUAUUUUUUAAAUGAGAAGCUGUGAAAUCAAAGUGCAAAGGUCUCAUAAAUGAUACAUAUCAAGUUUAAAAUAAUGGCUACUUUUACUGAGGACCAGAGGGAGUGUAACAGGAAGCGUUCCAUUGUAUCUUUUUAUUUUCUGUCCAAGUAAUCUGAAGAAAAUGCGACAGCCAAAAGUUAAAAUAUGUUAAAAUUAAGUAUAGGGCACAAGGGUGUUCAAUUUCCUGUGUGCUUGAAAUACUUCCAAGUAGCCUUUUUUAAAGAAAGAAAUUUUAUCUAAAAAUCCAAUUAUAUUGUAUCUUGAUUUAUGCUGUUCCUACACCUACAUUUUUACAUUUAUCAAUGUAUCCCACCUUAGCUGCCAACCAAUUAUUGUGUUAAAGUUCUUUCAUUAAGUUUCUGUCUCAAAAAAGGCAAUAUAGCCUGCCAUUGGGCCGGUAGGGCACUACCUUUAUCCCAGCAUUCAGGAGACAGAGGCAGGCAGAUCUCUGAGUUCGAGGUCAGCCUGGUCUACAGAGUGAAUUCCAGGACAACCAGAGCUAUACUGAGGGGGGAGGGGGUCGAAUAAAAGAGCAGUAUAGAAAAUACAAGGUCUAGGAAGUUAGAGUGUUUGGGUUCAAAUCCCAGCUCACAUUAUUAGGCACGUACGUGGCCAAGGACAGAAAAAUUUCUUAACUUUCUAUGAUCAAGUUUCUUCCUCUACAAGUGUCUGAAUUCAGUACACUAAUGCAUGCCCAUUGCCUAGUAGAAGCUUACUGAUAUUUCUUACAUGUAGUUAAUUUAUCAUGAUGAAUUUAUAGUGCAAAAUUAAAAUAUUUUUAUAUAAUUUAAUAGUCUAUAAAGAAAAUAUCUAUCUUUGUAAGUAAAUUUCUUUGAAGACAAGCUUUUAGUAGGAUCUGAAUCUUAAGAGAUUAGUGAAUUGUGAGCUUUGUCAUUUCCUGGAAAUGGAUAAAUUCUCAAUAUAAAUAAUGUCAAAGGUACAUUUGUGCUGUCAUACUAAGUUCACCCCAAAUAAUAACGUCAGUGUGUUCUAUUGAAAAUGCAUGGUAAAUUACAGGAAAUGAGUUUAUACCAUGUAGAGUUUUCUCAGAAAGAGAUUCAGUUUCCAAUUAUGCUCAUUUUAUGAUCUGUUGUGUGUCCUUGUUAACAAAAUAAUGCCUAGACGUUAACCUAAUUCAGAGAGAGUCUUGAAAAAGAAAUUUCUGGGCUUAGCAUGCAGGAAAUUUCCAAUAUAUAUUUACAAUGUACACAUCCAGUAAACUACCAGCUUCAUCAAGUGCUUAUUUCCCUAGUCAGCUCUUCUUUCCACUUUCAACAACAACCUCCUCAGAAUUUCUGCAUUAUUUUCAAGUCAUCUUUCACUUAUUUUCAGAAAAAAGAAAAAAAUAUAUAAACCAAUGGAUUGUUUCCUCAUUCACAAGCCUGCCUGCACAGGCAUCCGACUUGGCACCAGGAACUGGAUACUCCCUUACCCCCUACCAUCUCCGAAGCACAUAUUUCUGUCUCUUCAGGAACUUCUCUCAACAGAUAUUUUAUUCCACUCAAUAAGCUUCAGGAUUUUAUCCCUAUCACUCUACCUUAGGUCAUCAGUACUCAGUUUUUCGAUAGAGUGGACCUUUUUUUCUUUAUUAAAUCAACUUCUCUGCAGUAUUAGAUAGUAGUAAUCAUGGUUUUCUGAAUAUAUAUCAUUUGAUUUGUAAAACUACACUUUCCUGGUUUUCCUCCUAGAUCUCUACCUUUUUGUUUGUUUGUUUGUUUGUUUGUUUGUUUGUUUUAAUCUUUCACUCUAGGAUCAUCUGCCUAUCGCUUAACACCUAGAAGUUGUUCAAAUUGAUCUGUAUUUUCACUUUAUAUAUAGGACUUGUUCCUAUUUUCACUUUGUGUGUGUGUGUGUGUGUGUGUGUGUGCGUGCGCGCGCACUAUGUAUUAUAUGUUUAUUAAUCAUGUGUGUGCAUGACACCCAAAGAGGCCAGAAGAGGCCAUCACAUCCCUGAGACUGUAGUGCCAAAGAUUAGGAAUUGCCAUGAGUGCUGAGAAUGGAAAGUAGGUCCUCUGGAAGAUCAGCCUGAAACCGUAACUACUGAGGCAUCUCACCAGAUCCCUGUCUCAUGAUUUAAAAAGUCAUUUAUUAGUAGUAUAUUACUGUGUAUAUGUGCAUAUAACAUAUGUGCAGAAGUCAGAGGACUUUGAGGAAUCUGUUCUAUCAUUUCACCAUUGAUUCCAUCCCUGAAACUCAUAAGGCUUCCCAGCAAGUGUUUUCAUCCCCUGCACCAUCCCGAAUCCCAUUUCACCUUUAACAGUCCUCUUGUGUCUUGUUGGCUUCUGAGAUCAUAUGUGUGCUGAUGACUCCUAAGUAUAAGUUUCAAGUCUACUUCUCCCUUUUAAGAAUAAAGUUCACAUACCUUUAAAAUGUCUAUCCUACAUAGUCCAAGGUAUUUCAAAAUAACAUCUGAAACUAAACUUCUCAUUUCAUUUUGUCUAUGUUUGCUUCAGAUCUCUAGAUGGUAUCAUCAUCAUUCCAGUGACUAUUGCUUCAUGAUUUAUAACUCAUUCUUCUAUAUCCAUAGUGACCAUUCUAAGCCUUAACUAGAUCAGUCUGUUUAGUCUUUAUACCAGAAGGUGUACAUGAUAUAUUUCCUCAUUUCUGGCCUGCUCACUGUUUCUCUCUCUCUAGACUCUAGCAAGACUUGCUGACCCUCUGUCUGUAAUACUCUAACAUUCCAUUUCCUUUUCUGCACUCAUGCUUUUUUUAUUUUUCCUUUCAGUAUCAGUUUGACCAUUAUUUCUCUAAAAGUCUUUUUCUGAUCUCCCAUGAUUGGGUGACAUGCCCUCUAAACUUCUAUAGUUUCUUGUAUUUACUUUCAAAUUGUGCUAAUAGUACAUUUUUGUAAAUAUUUGUCUCCCUUCCAGUGGAGUACAAACUCUUUAAGAGCAGGGAUUCUUGGUAACAUAGAUAGCCCCACAUAGGGUACAGUGUUCACUACUUAAUUCGGCAGCUAUUUCCUGAGGGAUAAUUGUGUAGUAGGCACUAAUAUAGUACUACAUGUUGAAUGAGGAAUCCCAACAGUGAGUAGGGAACUGUGUCUCUGACAAUGUGGGAGCUGGAGGUCAAUAUUUUAACAUACUAAUACUGACUUUUAAAGGCAAUAUUAAACUGAUUAUGAGGCUUUAUUCUCUAUUAAAUCUGUUUCUCAUAAAAAUACACUAGUAUUUUUCAGUAUGAUAAUUGUAACACGUUAAAUGCAAUAAAUAAAUAAAUAAUUAGCUGUUUCUUAUCAAGCUCGACAUUUUUAGCUGCCAAAAUAUAAAGCAGUGAUGUCCCAAACUAAUUUUUAUUGCUUUGAAGAUACAGAUAUUUUUCAUAAGCUGUGCUUUGUGUUGACAUAGAUUAUUAUAUUUUAAUGUAUUUUAGAUAUUUGUGAAUUGAAUUAGAAAAUAAUCUAAACUUUCUCGGUUUUAAUUUCAAAUAAAGUAGCUCGGGGUUGGGGAUUUAGCUCAGUGGUAGAGCGCUUGACUAGCAAGCGCAAGGCCCCGGGUUCGGUCCCCAGCUCCGGAAAAAAAAGAAAAAAAAAAAAAAAACAAAUCAAAUGAAGUAGCUCAUGUAUUCCACAUAGGCAGUAUACCUUAGCAUCCUCAGUGACUUGAGUAAUAGCAAGGUGCUGUGUGAGGAAACAUGUGAGCCCUGCUGCAGAGGCAUAGGUAAUGCAUGCCAGGUGUCUGUUGUUCACCAGUGACUUCCACUUUACCAGCACUCCAAGACAACUACUUAGGACACUUUGAAAUGCUGUGCUUCUCUGUGUAGUCUAGGCUGAUCUUCGACUAACAAUCCUCCUGCCUCAUUCUUGCUAGUGCUGAAAUGGCACAUGUGCUUCCCCACACCUAGUGCAUAGGAAUUCUCUCCCUCUCUCUCCCCCCUCUACCUUCUUUUCCCUUGCCCUCCCAAGACUCUAUCCCUCUGGAACCAAGAGAAAAGAAAGGAAAAUAGAAAAAGAGACGUCCUUAAGCUGCUUUUGUCAGUCUGUUUUAUCACAGCAUCAUCAACAACAAAAAACUAAUGUGUGUACCGUCCAGACAAUCACUUUAAGUUUUCAUGAAAUCUGAGUGUAGAUUAAAUAAUUGUAAUUAAAUAGCAUAGUGCCAGAAGAAAGUCGGGGUGAGCUCAGACAAGCUUAUUAAAAUAAUUGAAAAUUUGUGGUGUUUGACAAACAAAAGGGAAUAGAUACUGAUUUAUCCCUAUAUGGAUUAAGAAUCUGAAGUACAAGAUGGGACAUUUUUGAGGUUAAUGAACAAAAAAUAGAGAAAAAUAAAACCCCAUACUUUAAAGAUGAAACAUUGUAGAAGAAAAGCCAAAAUACACAGCAAGAAGAGAGAGGGAAGGAAAAGCAGGGAGAUUUCAGCUUCAUCCCAGAGAGUUGAAAAAAUGGAAAAAAUAUCAGAACAACCUCCAUUCUUAACCUCUACCUAUUUUUCCCACCAGCCAAGAAGAGAGUGGGUAAAAUCAUAGCACAGAAAUAGGAUGUCCCAGAAGUCCAAAUUUAUCUCAAUUUAUCACUGAAGUCUCAAGGAAUGUUCACAUCCCAGCCUUUUUUACAAACGUAUUUCUCAUACAUAUGAGAAUCCCUCUGUUCCUUGAGGGCCCCACAUCCCUGGCAAUAGACUGGCAGUGCAGUUGCCUCUGGGACAGGAACGAGAAUAAAGCACUUACCUUGUUUUUCAUUAUGAUUUGUUUGACAUCAGUACCUUGUUUUAGAGCUAUCAAGGAAAAAAAUCCAAAGUUUAUAAAAUCUAUUGCAAGUGGAAAAGGCCAUUGCUGCCAACUCCCUUUGGCAUUUCCUACCACUGAAUCAGAAAUUGACUGAAAUAGGAAAUAGGGACACAUGGUUCUAUCUAUGGGAAACCAGCUGCCUGCAGCAACUAGGCUCAAUAUAUUGACUUUGGCAAUGGCUGAACACUUCCUGCUAAAUAAUACAAAAGUGAACUGAACUUAACUAAGUUUAUAAGGAUGUAAUAGGUUAGCAGUUGACCAUCAUUUUAUAAGCAGUAGGCACUAGCCCUGUUCUUUUCUAGCUGACCUAUUACAUCCCUAUAAACCAUGAUUAGUGACUGAUGAGUUUUCUGAAGGUAUACCUGAGAGAAUAAGGGGAAAUUUAAAGUGGAAGCAAAUGCCUUGACAUUUUUGUUAGUCUAGUCUGUUUCUUUUAAGUGAGCAAUUGCAUUACAGUACCAUGGAGACUGAGACAAGUCAAACUGUUAGUAACAAUAUUGUGUCACUGCUGCCCUUUUUUGUGAGGCUCCUAACAACUUCAGAGACUGUGUUGUGUGUAUGUGUAAGCACAUACAUAUAUGUGUUUUCAUGUGAGUCCACAUACAUGUGUGUAUAUGUACAAAGACCAGAAGUCAAUAGGUGUCUUCCUCAGUCUUUUCUCCAUCUUAUUUUGUUGAGGCUGAAUCAAGUGGCUCCACUGGCAAUGAGAAGAAGCCCCAGAGACUCUCUGUCUCAGCAUCUCCAGCACUGAGAUUGCAGGCAUAUGGACCAUGCCUCAUUUUUGUUUUUGUUUUCUUGAGACAGGGUUUCUCUGUGGAACCCGGACUGUUCUGGAGUUCACUCUGUAGACCAGACUGGCCUCAAACUCACAGAGAUCUGUAUGCCUCUUGCUGGGAUUAAAGGUGUAUUGCCAUUACCACCUGGCCCAAAUCUGUGUUUUUAGUGUGGGUUCCUCACAUUUUCAUGACAAGCACUUUACCAACUAAGCCAUCUCUCCAGCCCCCCAACUUAGAGACUUACUGUAUCAUUAGCCAUUUUGUGUUGAUUGGACUCUACUCUAGAGAGGUACUUAAGCACCUGACAAAAAGUAAGAGGCAAGUAAUAGUAUUCAUGAUUGCUACCCAUAAUGUGAUUUCAUUCCAUGAAUCAAAUGAUUCCAUGAAUCAAAUGACUUCUCUUGUUUAUCUUAAUACUUUUUCGUAUUUUAUUUGUUCCAGAAAAUUUGUAGUAAGUAAUAACAUUAUGCAUUGAACACUAAAGAUUGAAGAGACUUCAUGAAAUGAAAAUAAUGACCAUCUUUUUCAUCCAAAAUGAUAGUAAUAUCACAGUUGACAGUAGUGCUUGCUUAUCUAUUCAAGUUCCUGACCCCAAAGGCUCUCUCUAUGUGUGUCCUUCACUUAGUCUCAGAGUUAGAAGGUUAGAGGACCUCAUACUCUCAAUCAGCUACCCACCAAGUGCAGAACUGCCUUUUCAUAGCUCAUAUCCUGCCUACUAUUGAAGUUAUGAGUGUGAGCAUUUAAGGGAAGCAGCUGUAUCGCAGAUGAUGAUAUUACUGUAGCUCCAGAGUGCACAUAUGCCACGGGUGUAACUCCCUUUCCCUUUCAUGAUUCUCAACACACAAACGAACACUUCUGGAAUUAGUUUCUGAUAAAAGUAUUCAUUUAAUUGUUAUUGUCUCAAAAUAAUCUUGGGCUUUGAGCUAAAUAUAAGUGAUUUAAAUUUUUCCCAGUGGCCACUAGCUUUAAAAUCUAGGUGUCUGCAAAUUGUUGAGUAGAUCUCUAGAUGCUGAGAUAGAUUAAAUCUUAACUAUCUGAUAUAGAACUUAGUGUCUCAUACAGGGCCUAAUAUAGCACUCAAGUUUAUUGGGAAUAAUUGCAUAUAUUUUGAGGUUCUUAUGCGACUUAGUAAACUAAAUAAAAUGGAAAUGGCAAUAUCAAAAAAUACAAAGAACAAAAAAGUAGAACAUGAAUAUUACAAAUAAGGAGAUUAUCUUUGGGUUUGCUUCUUAAAUUGUUCCCAACUUCCUUUGCACAUACAUGCAAAAACAUUAGAGAAAAAAUAAACACAAACAAGAGAAUAGUCCUUUGGUAAAUAGUCUUCCUGUGAAUUUUGCAUGACAACUCUCUCUUCUCUUCUCUUCUCUUCUCUUUUCUCUUUCUGUUCUGUGACACUGAAAUGAAAGGCUCAGUUGAUCACAUUGGGAGUGUGCUAACCUGCCUUACUUUAGUCAGGUCUUCUAGGCCAUGCUUCUCCUGAUCACUUAGUUGAGUCAGUUCUGACUCAGCUCCCAUGGUUUACUAAUCUGAUAGUAAAGAGACUUACCAGGCCAAAAUGGGAAGAAAACAAAUGAGAAAGAUCAGAAAAGGAAAAUCCUCUUUAGACCCCUGACAGACUCUCCUCUGCUUUUAUUCUCAACAUGCAAAAAUAUCCAGCAAAGCAGCCUUGAUUUUACAAGUAAAUUGUUAAAGGAAAAGAAAUAGGCCAACCAUUCCAGCUACCUUGGCUAUGAGUUCUGGGUGAGUCACUUCUUUAGGAAAUGAAAAGAAUGUCAAGUAUGUGAAGGUUGCUGAUGAGGCUGCAGGCCGUAAUUUCAGGUUUCCUUCCUGCUUCUUGAGGAAGCACACACAUCAAAUUUACUGAGGGUUGGGAAAACAGAGUGGUCAAGAGGGACUCGGUGAAAGGGUAGAUGCCUUUUAGCUACUGGGUUAGUCCAGGUUCAUUUAAUUAUGUGACCCAGAAGGAGUGUCUGCCUGGUAGCGCAGGCCUAUAAUACUAGUUAUGUGGAAGCUGUCACACGAGGAUGUCUGAACAGCUUAGCGGGAAUUUGUCUCCAAAAAUAAUCAAAAUAAAAGUCCUAGAAGGGACAGAGAAGUGGCUCAGUGGCAAGACAGCUUGCCUGGCAUAUGCAAUCUCUAAGUGCAAGCCUUAGUAUUACAGAACAACAUAUUUAAUAAGCUCAAAAUGAUCUACUAAAGGGAGACGUGUUUUCCCAUCAAUCCAAGAAAGAAAUAUUUGAGAAAAUUUGAGGGGAAGAAAUUAUUGCUUUUACUUUUACUAUUUUAUUGUGAAAAAGUAGAAAAUGAUUCAGUGGAAAAUAUUUUGACCUGUAGUUUUUUGGCAAAAUGUGUUACAACAAAGCACAAAACAAAACAAAACAAAACAAAAAGACCAAAGAUGUGGCCAUAGAAAUGUCUCAGCAGGUAAGAGUGCAAGUCAGAUAACUGAUCCAUAUAAAUGGUGGGGAUUGGGGGGUGAAACUCUACAAAUUGUCUUCUAAUUUCCAUUCAUGUGCUGUGAUACGUAAUUAGCAAUAUAUACUAAGUACACAUACAUUCUAGUCAAAACAAAAACCCUAAAAGUAUAAAUAAUUAUUUUUCAUAAACCUCCCAAAAUCCUUGGUUUCCCCAAGGUUCAGAGUAAACAAUCUGAUUAAAUAAACAGCAACAAGGCAGGGCAAUACAAGCAGUGAGAGAUGGAUAGGCCAGAGGUGCAGAGAGAGGGACUACCUCAGCUUCUUAACACUGGGCUCAGCAAAGCAGGUGACACAGCCUUUAGUGACUUUCACAGUCUGGGAGGGUUGCCAUGAUGAAAUAUCAUACCACAAUGUGAAUGUUGUCCAUGAAUCUAUUUUUUACAGUUGUAGAAGCUAAAAGGCCAAGAUGAAUUGUGUUAAUAAGCUAGCUUUUCCUGAAGCUUCUCGCCUUGGUUUACAGAUGCCUGACUUUUCCGUGUCUCUUUGCUCUGCGUGUGCACGUUGUUGAUGUCUUUGUACAUCCAAACAUCUUUGUCUUAUUAGGAUACCAGUCAGACAGGGUUAGGACCCCUUUAACAACAUGUUUCUUAAUAACUUAAUCUCCAUUUUAAAGGCUCUGUCUUGAAAUACAUUCUCACCCUGAAGCACCAGGUAAAUUAAAAGAUUGUAGUUCUUGAGGGACACAACUCAUGCUGUAACAUUCUCCAUUCAAGUUAACAAAGGCCGGUCAGUACAAGUACUUACCAAUUUUCUAGAAAUUUGUCCUAGAAAAAAAUAUCUAGUACACAUGCCAAAAUAUGAGUACAUACUUAAGAAUGUUCACUACCCCCUUGAGUCAAAGAGCAAAAAAUAAUAAAGCGACCAAUUAUUCAUUAACAACAUGUUUAUAUCAUUAAAUUAGAAUCCAACUGAGGAAAUAGAACAGUGAGUCUAUAUACACUGCUAAGUCAAAUUUAAAAUUGCAGAACACUAUAUAAUGUACACUAUGAUUUAAAAUUAAAUAUUCGAACAUACCUAGCUAAACGUCACCCUGUCAAGAAUGACUACCUCCAAGGUAUAAACUUUGGGAUGGAGCCUUGUACUUUUUAUCUGUCCAUUUGUGUAGUUGGAAUACCUCAAUAGACAUGUUGUUUUGAAUUAAAAGUGAAAUUGAUAAUUCUUAAAUUCUCCUCUACACACUUAGGUAGAUAGGAUUCCAGUCUCUAAAGUUUGACAAUACAUUUUCAAAGCUUCAUUUAUUGAGCAUCAAGUAGCUCCCCAUCAACAUCUUUGAGCACUUUCCCAGAUAGUAUACUUGAAUUCUUGGAAGAACUUCUCUAGGCAAGUGUUAUUAUUGCUGCUCUAUCGUAGUACACCGUGGAAAGCACAUCGUAGGAGAGUCAGGUGAUUUUCAAAAUUUGCAGAGAAUAAACCACAAAGUCAACUCUUGUUGGCUUUGUACUGUUGACUUACAAAAUUACUUCUGUUUUAUAUACAGGAUAUAGAAAACUAUCCAAAGUUUGACAUUAUCUUAGAAUAUCAUUUACUGGUCUCUAUUCCCUCAGCAAACAUCACUUCUAAAUCUAAAAGUAUGGAAGUACUUAAAUCUAUGUGGCAGCCACUAGUCGGAUGCAUUUGUUAGAGCCAUAAGGAGCUCAACAGUAAUUGGUGAGUAGAAAAAGUCCAUUGUCUUGAGUUCCUGUGGCACUAAAAUAAAGAGUACGAGGAGAGAUGUUUUGUGUACCCCUUAUUGUAGGCAGGACAGACUUUCCUUUGGAAUACUAACAUAGUAGUAGUGAGGUCUGUAACCUCACUUAUCAAAAGAAAGUGGCUUUGACGGAUUGUGAACGUUAAUGACCAUCUUUGUUUAAAUGUACACAUACUCAUUGUUCCCAGUGAACACUGAGGACUUUGUACAGUGGCAGGAAGAGUACUUGAAGAGAACCUGAAGCAGCAGAACCCUUGGUCCCUUUAUUUCCUGAGAUCUUAUCUCUCUCCUACAGCACUUUGCCUCCAGUUUAUCCCAAAGUGUGACUUCAGGAAUUCAGCAUAUCUGUCAAACCCUUAUGCCCCUGUCCUGAUACUACUUUCGUUCAUUCAAGUUCCCAAUCUUUGUUCAAAAUCAAUGGUUCCCAAAGCACAGCCCUUUUGAUUCUGUCAACAGACUAUUGUUUGAUGUGAAGGCAGUUGAAGAAUAUUAGGUAGCCCACCCAAACACACAACCUGAUUACUGGAGGAGAAACAGAACUAGAUAGCCAUGGAGGGCAUAAAGACAAACUUCCCAACGUUGGCUGAGAUAUGAUUCUGCAAAUAAUGGGAGCCUUCACAGUCAUAAGUUAAUGGGAGCUUAUUUCACCCCUCAUGAAUAUGGUAUGGACACUCUAAGCUGCCUGGUAUCUCCUGUAAGAGGAGCCCCUGGGUGAUAUGAAAGGGAAUAUAAUGGUUACUACUUGACGACAAUCCAAAAUUGGAGGGCUCACCUGUGAUCCAGAUCUAAGGCUGGAAGAUACAAAUUUCUGACCUGGAUCUUGGCAUGGAGAUCUUAAGGCAUAGUGGCCAUAAAAAGCUUAGGCCCAGGCAAUGUAGUACACACCUUUAAUCCUAGGAGACUGAGGCAAGGAGAUCUCUGAGUUCAAGGUCAGCCUAGGACAAGCAAGUCCCAGAUCCAGGCUUUAAUCUGGGGACCUUCUGCUGGAGAUCCACAUAAGGACAUUGGAAGAAGGAAGAUUCACUCUUUUUUGCCUGCUUGCCAGCACAUCUGUUAGAACCUACUUCUAUAGGAGACCAACUGAAACAACUAGCUUCAUGGGACCGAGAAACUACUAGAUUCUUGGACUUCCCCUCCACAGCUGCCCAUUGUUGGGUUACUUGGACUACAGACAGUAAGUCAUCAUAAUAAAUUCCCUUAAUAUAUAGAGUCGUUUCAUAAGUUCUGUGACUAGGGAACCCUGACUAAUACAGGUAAUGACUGAAUAACUGGAAGAGAGGUUUAAGAAGGGGAGAGGGAUGAGAGGUUGGAGGAGCUGAAGAGACAACUAACACUAAGGAUGUUUGAAAAGGCUGAUUGGAAACCUACUAUUUUAUAAGCUUCCUAAAAAGUAGAACUUGAUGUUAAGACUCCAUUGAUGAAAAUGUCACAGGACAUGGGGAUAUCAAGUUGAUACUGACUUAGAAAUCCCACCCACCCAUCCCUCACAGUCCCCCACCCCCAAGCCCUCCUCCACUGGCUAGCAUUCAUCAUACUAGAAGGUGCCAUGCAGGCUGCUGAAGAAGAAAAGCCAUAAAUGUGUUAUUCAGCUGUGAACCCUUUCAGCUAUAACAACAACCAACAUGGUGAGAUAUACCAUGGACAAAAUAGUAGCACUUAUUAAGGCCUGCUCCACAGAAGGAAAUACAUACCUAAUGCUGUAAAUCUGGCCAAGAACCUGUUAAAAGCUCAGAAGCCCCAGCAUGGAAUCUACUAUUUUCUUGUUAAAUGGGCAUAGUAUCAAACUGCCUCUAAAUUCCUCUCUCUGUACCCAUGGAUUAGUGCUGCUCUCAGGACUCAGAAAUUUUUGUGCAGUGGAAAGCAGUUCUUGCAGAAACUCACAACUGGUCGAAGCACAGACAAUAAAAGCCUACGAAGUGCUCAGCUGUAGGUGGGUCAUCUAUGUCAUAAUCUCUUCCCUGAGACUCAGGGUCUAUUAAGACAAAAGGGAAUGGAAAGACCGUAAAGCCAUAGGUUGGAGAGGACUGGAGCUAAGCAGUGUUAUUUGGGUAUGGAAGCACUGUUGCACUGAAAAACCUCACAGCAGCUGUAACUGGCUGCUGCCCAGGACUGCACAUCAAGCCAGUCAGCAUUCCAGCAUGAAGAGGGAAGGGACGCACAAGCCCCCACCUCUAGUGGAGAGCUAUCUACGUUUGAUGACUUUUAGGACAAUUGUUUUUCCUUAAAGGAAAGAAAGACGGUCAAACAAGUUCCAGCAGAUGCCCCCACAUUCAUGAAUAUAUAGGUAGCACACAGUGGUCAUGAUGGUAAAAGAGAGAGAAAAGACAUAAAAUUGACAUGGCUGCUAGGGCUGGAGAGAUGGCUCAGUGGUUAAGAGCACUGACUGUACUUCCAGAAGUCCUGAGUUCAAUUCCCAGCAACCACAUGGUGGCUCACAACCAUCUGUAAUGGGAUCUGAUGUCCUCCUCAAUGUGUCUAAAGACUCUACAGUGUAUUCAUAUAAAUAAAAAUUAAUAGAAAAGUUUAAAAAUUGACAGGGAUGAAGGAGCAGGGCGUGAAUACAAACAAAAUACACUGUGUGCAUGUAUGACAUUCGCAAAGAAUUAAUUAAAAUGUUUUAAAAAAGACAAGCCCCUCAUGCUUAAAUGUUUUCCCAGCUAUCUAUGCAGGAGUCUGACCUGCUUUUAAAGGCAACAUGAAGGGGGGAAGACAGAACAAGACAUCAUUAGAAGGAGUUGUUAGUCACUUCUUAGCCAUCUGACUUUGAACACAUCAGCUCCUGUCUCACAGAACUGUCAUGAAUAUGGAAUGAGAUUACACAAGUAAAGAGCUUUACAUAGUCUCUCUCUCUCUCUCUCUCUCUCUCUCUCUCUCAUACAUACACACACACACACACACACACACACACACACACACACACACACACACACACAAUGACAAAAUACAAACCCAUCUUUAAAUAGACCUUAGGACUCCAACAGGACCCAAGCCAGCCAGCCUUGAUCCGCAGGCUUCUGAGAUUCAGUUCUCACCCUUACCCAGAUCCUGUUGCUUUGUCUCUAGGCUUUGACCCUCUUUGCAUUUGCCUUCCAGCAUCAGGAUGGAUUUCAAACACAUUUCCUGCAUUCUAACUGGAAAACAGUUCCACCUGGAUGGGCUAUGGGCCCUUGAGGCUUGAUGACUGAGAGCAGUAGUUUUCACGGCUUCCUGGGACCUCUUGUUGUUGGAUCUGGGAAUUUGAAUUCUUAUAAAAUCCCCCACUCUUCACUUAGAACUUCCACAUCACUGUGCCUUACUUACUCUUGAUUCCUUGCAGAGAUUCCCAGUAUGCUGUAUGACCAAGGCCUUGGUAGCCUUUUUGAAGAUAAUAGGCAUUAAUAAAUUUUUAAGAGAUUUAUUUAUUUAUUAUAUAUAAGUACACUGUAGCUGUCUUCAGACACACAAGAAGAGGGUGUCAGAUCUCAUUACAGAUGGUUGUGAGCCACCAUGUGGUUGCUGGGAUUUGAGCUUAGGACCUCUGGAAGAGCAGUCAGUGCUCUUAACCACUGAGCCAUCUCUCCAGCCCAAUAAAUUUUUAAUGAGUAAUUCAAGACAGUCUAUUGCAUGCUGUUCUCCACUUUACAUUUUGUGUGCCAUUGAACAUAAAGUAAUGUUAAAUAAUGAUAUAUACUAGGUUCUCAAGAUCCAUUGGUGAUUAAUUAAAACCUGUUCCAUUCAGCCUGAAUCGAGGUAGGGCACCUAUUUAGGAGAAAAGCUGUGAAUGUAUUAGGUACAUAGAAAUCAAUGAAGUAGCAGCCUAUGUAAAAGUUACAAGGUAUGAGGGGACAAUAGUAAUGAUGUCAUACCAUCCAACUUCAGUGAAAUUUUAGUGUCCAUGUCGUCUAAUUUGUCCUAGAAAAGCAGGAAGUGUGAUAAGCUACUCUCCAGACAUUGCAGUGUAUGUCAACAGGGAGGAGAAAAACAAAAAUGUUAACCUCACAUCUACUAGCUACAUUAGCACAAUAAGUAGAUUUUCUAAACCAGAUUCAGCAUGUACCUGCAAAUCUAGAACUUAUAAAACUGAAAUAGGAUUGCUGUGAGCUUGAGGGCAAUCGGAGCUACAGAGUGAGAACAAAAAGGAUUUCUCUCGAAUUUAUUUUAAUUAAAGGAAAUUUUAAGCACAGCUAAAAGAUACAAGAAAAGUACAAUAAACUUUUUAUCUGCCAUGCAACUUCCAUAAUUAACAUUUUGUCUAUAUUCCACUUAAGUAAUAUAAAAAUGGGGCUUCCCCAUCUUUAAAGAGUGUUUGACACUGUGUAAACAAUGCUGUCAUGUUUAGUCAAAGACUCAAAGAUAGUGUGUACUCGCCGAGCCUGUUUACAUAUAUUUUCAGUGCUGAGCUAACAAUUGCUCUUUCAGUUGGAUGAUUACAGCAUCCUAAACUCUGCACAGUCUCCUGAUGAGUGUAUAUAAUAGAGUCACUGUACUUGUCUCUAAAAAAAAAAAAACAACUUAUUUAUUUUUCAAACUCGAGAAAAUCGUGGCUCUGUACCCACCCAGGGUACAAAGGGCCAGUGAUUCCAGCUUGUUGUGGUUUGUGUGUUCAGUGGCUCCAGAUGUGCCACCUCCAAGUUAGUCUUAUGACAACCCAGGGGAUAUGGUGAUGAGCCUUUUUUGUGUUCAUUGACACAGAAAGACCGUGAAAGCUUAUGGAAAGGGAAAUGAUUGGGAAGGGAAAUGAUUGGUGAUCUCAAGAUGAGCACAAGCAGUUUCUUAAGAAUGACUUAUUCACUUGGGUCAGCUAUCCGUUUCACUGUAGGGUGGUGGUUCACAAUGACUAGGUUUAGCCUUUCUAGUUUAUUUCUUUCCAUUACUCAAGGUAACCUCUGUCUAUUUUUUACUUUUAGUACAAGGUCACCCAUCAGUACAGACAGCAGGAACUAAUGUCUAAAUGUUAAUUAAGCCAUCAUUUACAGAAGAGUCUUUCACAUUGCAUGCUUUCUUAAAUAUAGUUUCAUGUUGGAUACAUUUUAAUACUCAAUACAUAAUAUUUGAUGAAUGAAAAAGACUGAGUGUCUUUCUAAAUAUUUUUUGCAGAUAUUCUUUUGUACCAUAUUAAUAUGGCUUUUGUCAUAUUGGAAAAGUCUAUAAUUGCUCUUGAUCAUCUUUCUAACUCUGUCCUCCUUCACUCCCACAUAAUUCUGCCUCAAAUCCUCUAGCAAACUAAUAAUGCCUAAUAGUCACUGUCACCUAUAACCUCUCCAUACUGGAGAGUCUUAGACUACCUAUCUUCCUCUCUCUACUUAGUGCCUCACUCCUGAUUCAUCCCUUGAUGAGUCAUCUUCUAGCAAGCUUCUGUAAGUUUCCCUUUCCCAAAUCUCAGGCAGAUUUAUUUCACUAUACCCUUAACUGCAUGCACUCUGAUCUUGACUUAUAUUUUAAUAAACUUUUUAUUUUUAGGGUUUUUUUAAAGAUUUAUUUUAGGAAUAUGAGUAUAAAGUAGCUAUCUUCAGACACACUGAAAGACAACACCAGACCUCAUUACAGAUGGUUGUGAGCCACCAUGUAAUUGCUGUGACUUGAACUCAAGACCCCUGGAUGAACAGUGAGCCAUCUGUCCACCCCUUAUUUUUUGUUUUUAAUUGAGUGUAUAUAUAUGUAUGUCUAGAUGUACUUUCUGUACAUGUGAGUUCAGUGGCUUUGGAAGUCAGAAGAAGGUGUUGGAUCAUCUGGAGCUAGAGUUAUAAACAGUUGUAUGCCAUCUGAUAGCCAUGAUGGGAACCAAACCUAGAUUCUCUACAAGCACACAAGCCACUCUUCACCACAAAACCAUCUCUCCAGCCCCACUGACCAAUUAUUCUUAUUUCAGCCAAUUUUCAACACUGGUUAAAGCAUCCAUCUGUGUGUUCUUUUUACUUUUCUAAGCACCUGGACAUCUCCAGAAUGUAUAGCAUCAUUGGGUUGUUAGGAUAAUGUAAAAUGCCUCCCAUUCAGUUAGCCUGGGGACUCAACAACACUGUGCUCCUGUUCUCACCUCUCACUGAUUUACUCUUUAAAAUAAUAAUAAUGCCUGUUAUUUCAAUCUUCCGUAGUCUCAUUAAAUUUCUCCACAUCAUGCUUGCUGCCUAUUUUAGAAUAUGCUAGUGGUCAUGUGAUGUGGUUUGUUUAACUGUAUUAAGAUUAUUACCCAUUCCCUUUACCUUCUCUCCAGUCUUACCACACACAGAGGCACAGUUUUCUAAACUUUGAAAAGUAACUAGGUUUUUACUUUGGAGAAAAGCUCAGCGACUUUAUUAGGUACAGUGAUCUGUUUCCUUUUCACAGCCUUCUUGACAUGACUCCUUUCUGUGUGUUCUGAGCCUACCUUUCUUUCAAGCCCUCCCUUGACAUCGACCACCUUUGCUCUCCUACUCUAAUGAGAAAGGCUCCUAAAUGACAACUCCACUCGUGGUAUACCAGUCUCCGUCUACACUUCAUGCUCUUUGCUUUCUUCUCCCACUGGGUCCUCGGCAUCACUAGCCUAUUGGGCUUCCCAAGGCCAGAGCCUCCUAGUCCAUCCGCUCCAUUUAACACAGUGCCCACUCCUUCCUACUAGAACUCUCCUCUUACCCUGGUAUCCCUGUUACGUUCUUCUGGUUCUCCUGUCUUAGUGGCUGCCCUUUAGGUUCCAUUCAGGAUUCUUUUCUCCCUAAAAAAAGCAAACAAACAAACAAGCAAACAAAAAGCAGCCCCACUAACAAACAAUCCCCAUGCUAUCUAAAUGCAGACUAUCUGAAGAUUGGUAUUUCAGUGUUUUUCAUUUAAUUGCCAAUAGCCUAUCCUAGUUUCAUCAACCUUCUGGCUUGAACUGUCUGUCUGUCUUCUUUGUGAGAGUGACCCCCAGUAUGGUGGCUGUAACCCUCAUCUGUCUUCCUCUAACAAGCCCUCAUUUCCUUUUUAGUUUGUAUGCCCUUAUCUCUUAUAAAUGCUGACCAUCGCAAGGUGGUGGAUUUCAGACACUUUAAACUCUGGCCUACACUGAAUGCACCUUACCCCUACUCCUGCAUUGUCCUUCAUCUUGGCCAAUGAAUCCAAUACAGUAUCUUUCCCAGUUAACUCCCAAAUCACUCUUCCCUGUUCUCUACUGUCCCAGAAGCCUAUUAAUUCUUUUUUCAACCUUUUAUUUCAUUUUGACAAUUUCAUGCAUAUAUACACUGAGGAUAUAUUCAACCUCCAUUAUCCUAUUAUCCCCUUCCCACAACCUGAACCCCCUUUUCUUCUCCACUUGUUCCCCUUUUCUUUAAUGUCUUUUUUGCUCAGGUAGCCAUAGAUACUGUGUUUGCAUGCUCACACUGGCUGCUUCAUAUCUAGAAAAGAGCAAGAACCUUAUUAAUCCUUGUGUGGGGCUUUGCAAUAGGCUUCCCGUCCUUCAUUCAGUGUUCACUCCAUUUGCUGGAGUGGAGUCACACGCUAAUGGUUUUGAAAGCUCUCUCCCACUCUUCAGCUUAUUUGUCUGCAUCAACCGGUGUCUUAAAUACUGCAUUCUAGGACAUUGCUGCUAGAGUUAUCUUCCCUAGGCUCAGACCUAAGUGGGUUCCACUUUCAGGUCAAAGGAUUUCACCCCUUGUUCUCUAUAGUCAAACCCUGCUUAGUUUAGUCCAUCUCUGUCUCUCUAACCUUACUCCUUCCAGUGUUGGUCUGUAACAAGUUCCUAAACAUAGUCUGUACUCAAUCAUGUUUUCUUAGAGUAUUGCUUGUGUCUUGUGGCUUCCUCUCAAAUAGUCUUUGCAGGGCACAAGGAAGACUAGACUUGGGCCCUCACUAUUCAUGCCGUAGUAGAGACUUUUGACACCAAAUUCAAAUUAUUCUCUAAAAAGCUUUCUUCCCAUCAUCAGAAUCAAAAAAUACGCCCCCCACAGUGUUAAAUUAAAUUACUAUCCAGAACACAGAAAAUACUUAAAUCUGUCUUUGCACAAAAAUUACUGUUUAUUCUCCACUAGAGCAAAUACUUGAAAGAGAGGAGCUGGGUCAAGUUCAUUUUCGGUGUACUAUUAGAUGACUGUGAAGCAUGUACACAGUAGGCACUUAAUUGCUCACUGAACUGUUGAAUGCUAUAUUAAUGCUGGCUUCUUUUUAAUCCAUAGAAUUAAGGAUGGAUUUUUUCACUUAUUUGAGGCAGCAAUACUCUAAAUUUGUUUUUGGCAGUAAUUUGAUAUUUUUUACCCAAUAAUUUCCUAUUCAGCACAGACUCUUUAUCAUCAGAAUUAUUCAGUGCACAAAAGUUCACAGCACUCAUCGUAUCAAAACAAGUGAUUAACUGAUAUAACAAAUAAAAUGUUAAAGGAAGAGAGAGCAGGUGAGAGAAUAUGUGUGAUUAUCAGAGACUCUCUGAUUACAAUUGUCCGAAAUAGUGACUGCAGAGUACUUCCUCAUAAUUUGGUACAGAGUAAAUGCCAAGUGAUUGGUACUCAGCAGUAUUAUGCAGUAAAGCAUAAGGGACAGGAAUCCCUUUUCCCCGUGGAGUUUACAUAGUUUGUGUAACCAUCGAUACUAACUGCAUUGGGUUCCAUUUGGAAUCAGAGUUAGGAUGUAUUUUUAUGAUAAUGUGCAGAACAAGUAACAAAGGGCAAAGCAUGCACCGAGCUUGCUUGAUGUGAUUAAUCACGAGCUAUUGCCAAGGACUUGGCAUCUCUCUCUCUCUCCCACUUGAUAUUCAGUGAAGUAAAUAUGACCAGAAUUGUCACAUUCCUAACAAAGACAUCUGCUAAGCUGUGCAACUCGAGCAAAACUGCUUCCUACUGACAGCUUGCUUCAGAUGUGGAUGUUGCCAUUAAGAGAAAAUAGAAUUUCUGUAUUUAUCAUAUUACCUAAUAUGUUGUGUUGGCAUAUUUCAUCUGUGGGCCAAAAGACUUCCCAAUAAUUCAAAUCAGUAUUCAAAAAUUCUGUAUUUGCUUAAGGAUUAUGAUAAGAGCUUUAAUUUUUUGGUAUAUUAAUGUAAACAAGUAAAUUUUGUCUACAUUGUAUUUUUCUAAAAUCCAGGUCAGAAUGGUGUCAGCUGAUGAGUAAGCCUUCUUUUUCAUUCUUUCUACCUCCAAUUAUCCUCUUAGAGAUCUUCUCUUAACUCAUAUAGUAUGUAAAAAAAAAAUCACACAAAACAAUAAUGAGCUUGGUUAUUUUUAAUUAUUUUUUUAGUGCAUACAUGAAUGCAGGUGUGAACACAGAGGGCAGAGGCAUGGUUAUCUUGGAGCUGGAGUUACAGGUGACAGUGAAUCACUUGAUGUGCCAAUAUUGAACUCAGAUCUUCUAGAAGAACAGUAUGUGUUCUUAACUGCUGAGCUAUCUCUUCAUUCCUAUUUUACACGUAUAUCUGCAUAUCAAUAUUUUAAUGAAAAUCUCUCCUCACACUUAUAAUCCCAGGAUAGAGGCAGGAAGAUCAGGAGUUCAAGACCAGACUCUGUUCCAUAUCAACUUUGGGUGAGAAAGGUCACUAACCGUGAGGCCUGAACUUUGAAGUUUCCACUCAGGCCUUUCACUCUCCAUGGAGUGAAAGCCUGUGUUGUUAGUGGCUUGUGCCCACUCACAGCCUUUGUGACUGCAUUAUAUCGAUUCAGGGUAACCAGAAUGGAGGACUUCCCAGCUCAUGUGGUACAAGGAUGGAUAGGUCACAGGAUCCUUAGCUUAAAGGACUAACGAUCAUGUAUAUGUGCAUGUGCAUGUAUCUCCAUGUGGCUGUGUGCAAGUGCCCAUGGAGGCCACAAGUGUCUGAUUCCAUUGGAGGUGAAGUUACAGGAAAUUGUGAGCCAGGAGGCAUGAGUACUGGGAACCAAAUCCAGACAUCUGCAAGAGCAGCAUGGACUCUUAAAACUGCCAAGCCAGCUCUCCUGCCCUACAGUUUUGUUUUCAUGAGUAGCUUCUACCUUUCCCUUCUGUCCCUCUCCUAUGUCUACCACUGAAAUAUCCAAUGAGGGAAUACUACCCUAAGGCACAAGACAGCUCGACUUCCUUAUUUUUAAUUAAAAACAUUCUCAUAGCUCACUCUUCCUUUUAAACAAUGUUUUUUGGAUCUGCCAAGCUUUCAACAAUCACUGCCCAUUCCUCAACCUGAGUUCUAGGACCCAGCUCAAAGCCUUGUGAGUACUAGUUCAGUACUCUUGACUAUGACCAACAUCCUCAUCCACAACUGCUUUUUAUAUCUUUACGUUUUACUACACAUAAUAACACUGAAGAACUUUUCUCAAGCAUCUCAUAACUAUAGUUAUGACAACGUAGCAAUGCUUCACAUGGACUUUUAAAAAAUAUUUAUUAUCUUAUCUGUAUAAAUGCUCUAUCUACGUUUACACCUGUAUGCCAAAGACAGCCUCAGACCCUAUUAUGGUGGCUGUGAGCCUCUCCAUGGGGUUCCUGGGAAUUGAACUCUGGACCUCUGGAAGAACAGCUCUUAACCACUAAGACAUCUCUCCAGCCUCUCACAUGGACGAUUUUGAAUUAUACAAAUAAUAAAAGAUAAAUUCCCAGAAAUGACACUGUUGGCUAAAAAGGAAGUUAUUUGCAAUUUACACUUUUGUCAAAUUGCCUUCUAUAAAGAUCGUGUUUGUGUGCCUUUGGAGAGGACCACAGACAGGACAAUAUAGCAUAUUUUAAAGACCUUCAGACCUCAUCUGUGUAAUCAAGUAGUAGAUAUGGGGCUUUCAGGUCCUGAUACCCUUUUUCUUAAAAUGAGCCAGGAUGAACAUAUUAUAUUUAUUACUCUUUAUUAUAAAUAGUUUUCUUUAUAUUUUAAGCAGUUCUGUGUAUAUGAAGGUUCUUGAUUAUCAUGUACUAAUCUAACAGUAUUUCAGCCUAGUGUCUUAGAGAUGUCUGCCACAAGCUUCCAUGUUAAGGCUUACAUUCAUAAUGAACCCUAUUUCCAAAUACAGUAUGUAUUACCACACACAUUGGUUUUCAUCAAGGCAGAAUCAUAUACACACCUAUGAAAUUGUUAUUAGUCAAGCCAGGUCACAUUUCCAGCUUUCAGUAAGAGCUCUCUGUUCUGUGGUAUGCACCCUUAGCCACCUCGUACUCACCUUAAUCACUAGCAGGAGCUGUGCCUCAUAUCUUUUCAGUGGAGAGCAUAGGUCAUCACCCAGGAAUGGAAAAAUAGCCUAAACAGAGAGCCACAAACCUGCUGGAGCCGUAUCUACAGUUGGACUCACCAUUAAAAUGUUAGCACUUCAUUCACAAAGGAAGAACAAGACAUCUUAACCUCCCAAAGAAGGAAAUGAAUGCUGAAGUACUUUGAAGGAUCACUGCCUAGUAUUUCAUCUCCAUAGAGAAUACUCAUUCAUCUUUACAAAUGAUCUAAGAAAAGGACUUUAAAUAUAGAUAAUAACCAAAACAUGGCUUCAAGGAUGGAAAAAAAUUAGAUUUCUUUUUUUUCCAACUUUGGUAACUUAAUAAUCUAGUAAUUUAUUUUCAGACCCCCAUUGUAUUAGGCAAUAGUUUGCAGUCUGGGGGUGUAAAAUUACUGAACUACACUAACUGGUUUCUUAGAUAAAGUUACACUUAAGUGAAGGAUAUAAACUCACAAAAACCAUGAAUUUAUGUCUUAAAUGAUAUUAAAGAAUUACAUACAAAGGAGAGCCCCAGAGAUAACAGAUGGUUUUACAGGGGUUGGGAGAAACACAUAAGUGAGAGCAUAUAGGGAUAUAGGAGGUUACAGGAAAGAUGAUAUUUAAGAAAGCAUGAGGAGGAUUGUGGAAAACUGGCGUGUUCAGUAUUACAUGAUCCCGACUUAUUUGAUCUCUUUAGAAAAGGACCAUCUUUUUCAGCGAAUUUGACCUUCUUAUGAUUUCCAUAACUGUGCCAAAAUACCUGAGAAAAAUCACCUUAAAGGUUUGUUUUGCCUCAUACUUUGGGAAGUUUCCAUCCACAGUAGGUAGACACAUUGUUCCUGGGCCUGUAGCAAGAUCAUGGUGAGGCACAAGACAAAAGGAAUAACUCAGCUUGUGCCAGGAACUAAUAGCAGGAAUGAGAAAAGACCAGGAUCCCACUAUUCCUAUCAGAAGCAUGCUCCAAUAACAUAACUUUCUUUCUUAGAUGUACUAGUCACUUCCCUGAUGCUAUGUUAAGAUACCAUGGAUGAUUCCACUUAGAGAAUGAAAAGUUUAUUUGGGCUUCAGUUUCCAGAGUGGUAGAGUCCAUCAAGGCAGGAAAGCAUGGCAUCAAGCAGGCAUGACAGCCCGACAGGAAGCUGAGAGCUAUUCUAAACCACAAGCUCAAAGCCGAGAGAGGUAACUGGAAGUAGGCUGGGGCUUUCAAAGCCUGGUCCACCCCAACAACAUACUCCUUUCAACAAAGCUAUACCUCCUAGCCCUCCCCAGACAGCAUCACCAACAGUGGACCCUAAAUCCUAUUUAGACUAUCAAAUUAGAUUUCACCCAUGUAAAGCUUCACUACUCCCAAUAGUGUCACAGGCAGAUUCAGCCCUUAACAUGUGGAACUUUGUCGGGGAAAUACUUAUCCAAACCACACUACCUGGCACAAUAGCUCCAGUUUGAUCUUCUCCAAGUUUCUAUCUCUCAGUCACCAUCUUCAGACUUCACUAGAUUUUCUUCAGGAUCAGGAUCUGUGGAUUAGUGCUUGCUUCUUAGGAUUCUACAAGGCAGAGAGAAAAAGAGUGAAAGAGGAAGGGGAGAGGAAGAGAAAGCUGGGGUGAGGGGAAGUAACUUUGUUUCCUCCACUUGUUCAGGUCUCAUCUCAAAGCUCUCCUUCAGUAUUCUAUUACCUAUUUUGUCACCCACAACACCUCACCCUUACAGGCUUGAAGGGCUCUUCCUUUACCUGCUUCUUGACUGUCAACUUCUUCUUGAAUUCCAUCAUCCUAUCUAUCUUUCCCAUUGCCAGAUCUCUGCAAGGACAACAGGACCUCAUAUACAGGAAACAAUAUACUAUUUGCUGAAUUUACUAAAUUCAUUUUUGUGGAUUUUUUUUCCAUUUCAAAUAUUGUCCCCUUUCCCAAUUUCCCCUCCAGAAACCCGCUAUCUUCCUGCUUCUAUAAGGGUGCUCCCCCACCCACCAACUCCCUCUUACCUCCCUGCCCUGACAUUCCCCUAGACUGGGCUAUUCAGCCUUGACAGGACCAAGGGCCUCUCCUCCCAUUGAUGCCCAACAAGGCCAUCCUCUGCUACAUAUGCAGCUGAAUCCAUAAGUCCAUCCCUGUGUACUCUUAGGAUGGUAGUUUAGUCCCUGGGUGCUCUGGGGAGUCUGGUUGUUUGAUAUUGUUAUUCUUAUGGGGUUGCAAACCCCUUCAGUUCCUUCAGUUCUUUCUCUAACUCCUCCACUGGGGACCUUGUUCUCAGUUCAAUGGUUGGCUGCAAGCAUCUGCCUCUGUAUUUGUCAGGCUCUAGCAGACAGCUCAAGAGACAGCUGGAUCAGUCUUCUGUUAGCAUGAACUUCUUAGCGUGGGCAACAUUCUCUGGGUUUGGUGGCUAUAUAUGAGAUAGAUCCUUAGGUGGGCAGUCUCUAGAUGACCUUUAUUUCAGACUCUGCUCCACACUUUGUCUCCAUAUUUCUUCCUGUGAGCAUUUCUGUUCCCCCUUCUAAGAAGGACUGAAGCCUCCAUGCUUUGGUCUUCCUUCUUCUGAGCUUCCUGUGGUCUCUGAAUUGUAUCUUGGGUAUUCUGAACUUUGGGGCUAAUAUCCGCUUAUCAGUAAGUGCAUACCAUGUGUAUUCUUUUGUGAUUAGAUUACCUCACUCAUAUUUUCUAGCUCCAUCCUUUUGCCUAAGAAUUUCAUGAAGUCAUUGUUUUUAAUAGCUGAGUAGUACUCAUUGUGUAAAAAUGUACCAUAUUUUUUCUGUCCAUUCCUCUGUUCAAGGAUAUCGGGGCUCUCUCCAGCUUCUGGCUACUAUAAAUAAGUCGGCUAUGAACGUAGUGGAGCCUGUGUCCUUGUUAUAUGUUGGAGGAUCUUUGGGUAUAUGCCCAGGAGUGGUAUAGCUGGGUACUCAGGUACUACUAUGACCAGUUUUUUGAGGAACCACCAGUCUGAUUUCCAGAGUGGUUGCACCAGCUUGCAAUCCCACCAGCAAUGGAGGAGUGUCCUUAUUUCUCCACAUCCUCUCCAGAAUCUGCUGUAACCUGAUUUUUUAUCUUAGCCAUUCUGACUGGUGUGAGGUGGAAUCUCAAGGGUUGUUUUGAUUUGCAUUUCCCUGAUGACUAAGGAUGUUGAACAUUUGUUAAGGUGCUUCUUGGCCAUUCGAUAUUCCUCAGUUGAGAAUUCUUUGUUUAGCUCAGUACCUUUUUGAAAAUAGAUUAUUGGAUUCUCUGGAGUCUAACUUCUUGAGUUCUUUGUAUAUAUGGGAUAUUAGUCCUCUAUCAGAUGUAGGAUUGUUAAAGAUCUUUUCCCAAUCUGUUGGUUGCCAUUUUGUCCUAUUGACAGUGUCCUUUGCUCUACAAAAGCUUUGCAAUUUUAAGAGGUCCCAUUUGCCAAUUCCUGAUCUUAGAGCAUAAGCAAUUGAAUUGGAAUGUUGAUGGACAUCACGUUGAAUCUGUAGAUUGCUUUUAGCAAGAUGGCCAUUUUACCAUGUUAAUCCUGCCAGUCCAUGAGCAUAGGAGAUCUUUCCAUCUUCUGAGAUCUUCAAUUUCUCUCUUAGGGAACUUGUGGUUCUUGCCAUACAGAUCUUUCACUUGCUUGGUUAGAGUCACACCAAGGUAUUUUAUGUUAUUUGUGACUGUUGUGAACGAUGUCAUUUCUCUAAUUUCUUUCUCAGCCUGAAUAUCUUCUCAGUAGAGAAAGAUUACUGAUUUGUUUGAGUUAACUUGAUAUCCAGCCACUUUAGUAAAGUUAUUUAUCAACUAUAGGAAUUCUCUGGUAGAAUUUUUGGCCUCACUUAAGUAUACUAUCAUAACAUCUGUGAAUAGUGAUAUUUUGAAUUCUUUCUUUCCAAUUUGUAUCCCUUUGACCUCUUUUUGUUGUAUAAUUGCUCUAGUUAGGAAUUUAGUACUCUAUUGAGCAGGUAGGGAGAAGUGGCCAGCCUUGUCUAGUCCCUGAUUUUAAUGGGACUGCUUCAAGUUUCUCUCCAUUUAGCUUGAUGUUGGCUACUGGUUUGCUAUAUAUUGCUUUUACUGUGAUUAGUUAUAGGCCUUGAAUUCUUAAUCUUUUCAAGACUUUUACCAUGAAGGGGUGUUGAAUUCUGUCAAAUGCUUGCUUUCUCGGCACCUAAUGAGAUGAUCUUGUGUUGGGUUUUCUUUUUCUUUUUCUUUUUUUUUUUUUUUUAGUUUGUUUAUAUAGUGGAUUACAUUGAUGGAUUUUCAUAUAUUGAACCAUCCCUGCAUUCCUGGGAUGAAGGCUACUUGAUCAUGAUGGAUGAUUGUUUUGAUAUGUUCUUGGUUUCAGGUUGCAAGAAUUUUAUUGAGUAUUUUGGCAUUGAUAUCCAUAAGGGAAAUUGGUCUGAAGUUCUAAUUCUUUGUUGGGUUUUUGUGUUGUUUAGGUGUAAGUGUAAUUGUGACUUCAUAGAAUGAAUUGGAUAGUGUUCCUUCUGUUUCUAUUUUGUGUAAUAGUUUGGAGAGUAUUGACAUUAAGCCUUCUAUGAAGAUCUGAUAGAAUUCUGCACGAAACCCAUCUGGUCCUGGUGACUUUUUGGGUGGGAGACUUUUAAUGUCUGCUUCUAUUUCUUUAGGUGUUAUGGGACUAGUUAGAUGGUUUAUCUGAUUCUGAUUUAACUUUGGUACCUAGUAUUUCUCUAGAAAUUUGUCCAUUUCAUCCAGGUGUUCAAGUUUUGUUGAAUAUAGGCUUUUGUAGUAGGAUCUGAUGAUUUUUUGAAUUUCCUCUGUUUCUGUUCUUAUGUCUCCCUUUUCAUUUCUGAUUUUGUUAAUUUGGAUACUGUCUCUGUGCCCUGUGGUUAGUAUGGUUAAGAAUGUAUCUAUUUUGUUGAUUUUUGUCAAAGAACCCCCUCCUGGUUUUGUUAAUUCUUUGUACAGUUAUUUUCAUUUCUACUUGGUUGAUUUCAGCCCUGAGUUUGAUUAUUUCCUGCAGUCUACUUCUCUUGGGUGUAUUUGCUUCUUUUUGUUCCAGAGCUUUUAGGUGUGCUGUCAAGCUACUAAUGUAUGCUCUCUCCAGUUUCUUUUUGGAGGCACUCAGAGCUAUGAGUUUUCCUCAUAGCACUUCUUUCAUUGUGUCCCAUAAGUUUAGGUAUGUUGUGUCUUCAUUUUCAUUAAAUUCUAAAAAUUCUUUAAUUUCUUUCUUUGUUUCUUCCUUGACCAAAUUAGCAACAAGUAGAGCAUUGUUCAGCUUUUAUGUAUACAUGGGCUUUCUUUUGUUUUUGUUCUUAUUGAAGACCAGCCUUAGUCUGUGGUGAUCUGAUAGGAUGCAGAGGAUUAUUUAAGUCUUCUUGUAUCUUUUGAGUCCUGUUUUGUGACUGAUCAUAUGGUCAGUUUUGGAGACGGUACCAUGAAGUACUGAGAAGAAGAUAUAUUCUCUCUUUUUUUUUUUUUUUGGACGAAAUGUUCUAUAAAUAUCUGUUAAAUCCAUUUAGUUUAUAACCUCUGUUAGUUUCUCUGUGUCUCUGUUUAGUUUCUGUUUCCUUGAUCUGUCCAUUGCUGAGAGUAGUAUGUUAUAGUCUCCCACUAUUAUUGUGUGAGGUGCAAUGUGUGCUUUGAGCCUUAGUAAAGUUUCUUUCAUUAAUGUAGGUGCCCUUGCAUUUGGAACAUAGAUAUUCAGAAGUGAGAGUUCAUCUUGGUGGAGUUUUCCUUUGAGGAGUAUGAAGUGUUCUUUCUUAUCUUUUUUGAUGACUUUUGGUUGAAAGUUGAUUUUGUUCAAUAUUAAAAUGGCUACUCCAGUUUGUUUCUUGGAACCAUUUGCUUGGAAAAAAUUUUCCCAGCUUUUUACUCUGAGGUAGUGUCUGUCUUUGUUACUGAGGUGUGUUUCCUGCAUGCAGCAAAAUGCUGGGUCCUCUUUACUUAUCCAGUCUGUUAGUCUAUGUCUUUUUAUUGGGGAAUUGAGUCCAUUUAUGUUGAGAGAUAUUAGGGACCAAUGGUUGUUGUUUCCUAUUAUUUUUGUUGUUAGAGAUGGAAUUAUGUUUGUGUAGCAAUCUUCUUUUGGGUGUGUUUAAAGGAGAUUACUUUCUUGCUUUUUCUAGGGUGUAGUUUCCCUCCUUGCAUUGCAGUUUUCCAUCUAUUAUCCUUUGUAGCACUGGAUUUGUGGAAAUAUAUUGUGUAAAUUUGGUUUUGUCAUGGAAUAUCUUAUUUUCUCCAUCUAUGGUAAUUGAGAGUUUUACUGGAUAUAGUAUCCUACCCUGGCAUUUGUGUUCUCUUAGGGUCUAUAUGACCUCUCCCCGGAUCUUCUGGCUUUCAUAGUCUCUUUUGAGAAGUAUGGUGUAAUUCUGAUAGGUCUGCCUUCAUUAUGUUACUUGACCUUUUUCCCUUACUGCUUUUAACAUUCUUUCUUUGUUUUGUGCAUUUGAUGUUUUGACUAUUAUAUGAUGGGAGGAAUUUCUUUUGUGGUCCACUCUAUUUGGAGUUCUGUAGUAGGCUUCUUGCAUGUUUAUGGGCAUCUCUUUCUUUAGGUUAGGGAUGUUUUCUUCCAUAAUUUUGAUGAAGAUAUUUACUGGCCCUUUAAGUGGGGAGUCUUCACUCUCUUCUACACCUAUUAUCCUUAUGUUUAAUCUUCUCACUGUGUCUUUGAUUUCCUGAGUGUUUUGAGUUAGAAGCUUUUUGAGUUUUACAUUUCCUUUGAUGGUUGUGUCAAUGUUUCUAUGUUAUAUUCUGCCCCUGAAAUUCUCUCUUCUAUCUCUUGUAUUCUGUUGGUGAUGUUUGCAUCUAUGACUCCUGAUCUCUUUCCUAGAUUUUCUGUCUCCAUGGUUGUAUUUCUUUGUGAUGUCUUUGUUGUUUCUAUUUCCAUUUUUAGAUCCUGGAUGAUUUUGUUCCAAUCUUUCACCUGUUUGGUUGUGUUUUCCUAUAAUUCUUUAAGGGGUUUUUGUGUUUCCUCUUUAAGGGCUUCUACCUGUUUACCUGUGUUGUCCUGUAUUUCUUUAAGGGAGUUAUUUAUGUCCUUCUUAAGAUCCUCUAUCAUCAUCAUGAGAUGUGAUUUUAAAUCAGAAUCUUGCUUUUUUGGUGUGUUGGGCUUUCUAGUACUUGCUAUGGUGGAAGGACUGUAUUCUAAUGAUGUCGAGUGGACUUGGUUUCUGUUGCUUAUGUUCUUGUGCUUGCCUCUCUCCAUCUGCUUAUCUCUGGUAUUAGUUGGUCCUGUUGAUUCUGACAGUGGCUUGACCCUCCUGUAAGUCAGUGUGUCAGCACUCUUGGGAGUCCAGCUCUCUCCUGAGGAGAGAGCUGUGGCACAGAAUCACCUUCGGGCACAGAGGGAAACUGGAAGAGGGAUGCCACAGGCUUGUCACCAAGAGCAGGAGAUUCAGAAUUAGAUCUGACAUAAGGCCAACGUAUACUGGAGAGCUGUCUUUGCCAGGUUUCAGUUCUACUUCAGCCAGCUCUGCUCUUCUCUGAUGUGGAUCAAGCUAAGCAUGGAACGGCAGAAGCAGUUCAACCUGCCCAUGGUGUGAUGUGUGAUGCUCUACUAGUAACGAGCCAAAGAUAAAAACAGAAGUCACAAGGCUGCCGACAUCCUGAGUCACCUGGGACACUACGGCUACCAACCUCUCUCCAGUUGAAAAUAAAAUAGUUGUCUUCCUUCAGGACAGAUUUCCAAGGGGGGGGAGAGAGAAUUUUUCACCUGUGUGUGUGUUGUUUAUAUAUCACACAAGCAAAUCCAAUUCUUCCAGAAGUGUACUCUACUUCAACCAGCUCUGCAGACAUGGUAGCACAUGCCUUGUAGGUCCUGCACUUGGGAGGCUAAUAUAGAAGAGUUUUGAGUUCCAGGCUAGUUUCCCCUACAUAUAAAUUAAAGGCCAGCCUAGUUUACAUGAUGAGAAUCAGUCUCAAAAAUAAAUUAUCAGGGAACACAUUAAAACACACACACACACACACACACACACACACACACAGUUUGUGUAACUCAUGGUACAAAUCUCAAGAGAAGCAAGGCCAGGGAUCAUUUGUCCUGCCCCUGAGAUAGCACAGCCCAUGUGAAAAGAGGACUAGCUAGUUUUCCAGCAUAACAUGCUAUUUUAUUUCACUAUAGUAGACUGCUAGGAAAUCUCUGGAGACCCUGACAGCUGCAUCUUGUCUCUAAUAUGAAGCCAGAGGGUGGGGCUGGGAGUGGGGGGAAUCAUAAUUCACAAGAGGCACAGGCCUGAGAAAGCCACUCUGCAUAUCUGAACCAGACGUGGCAUGGGGGUGCUGCUCUUCCAGUCCUCAGUCAAGAAUGCUUUUUGUCUUCCCUCUCCUCCUUAUCGGCUGUCCUCGUGAAAAGAUCGUUUAUGGGUGGCAGAUGAGUACAGCAGAGCCAGCUUCUGUCUCCCUCUUCUUUCCCCCAGCUGCUGCUGCCAUGUAAAAGACCCUUUGUUAAAGGCUGAAACAGCAGACGCUGCUUGAAUAUCUUAAAUCAUUCGGAGGAGGAGUGUUUUAGCUCGAAUUGGUGUAAACACUAUUUUUGUUUCUAAAGGAGUUCUGCUGCCAAUUCAGAUAUUCUUUAAAAAAAAAAAUCGAUAGACUUGUGUGGCAGAGAAGUGUGCUGUAGGAUCUCUGUACAGUAAUGCAGAAUAUGGGAAGUAUGGAUGACGUUGAUGGGGUGCAGCAGGAAUCCUGUGUGCUUUUCACUUUGUGCUCACUAUUGUAAUCGUCACAGGAUCCUGCAAAGUGCAUCAUCAGCCUUUCUUUAAAGCACAAAGGCAUGAAUGAGUCACGGGAGGCUUGUAGACAAAGUUAAGGGUAAUAGACUGUGCUGCAAGCUAGGAAUGGGCUCGGCGAGUACACACGCACUAACUGUUUAUUUAGUUCAUUGAGUUUGAAGUCAUUCUGCAGAGACAGAACUCCAGACAUGGUCCCACAUGCCUAUAAUUCUAAUGGUCAGGAAGGUGAGACAGGGGGAUUAUGAGCUUGAAGACAGCCUGGGCUACAGAGAGAGAACCUAGAGAUUGGAUUCCUAAGGCUCUGCAAAAUCCAGAGUCCACUUCCUCUGGAAUACACAUUGCUGAGCCAAAUAAGGAACAACGCCCUCCCUCCCCCACCCUCCCGUCCCCCUCUCUGCCCUGCCCUCCUUCCUUCUUUCCCAUCUUCUGUCCUUUCAUCUUUCUUUUUUUGAGUAUUUGUCUUUUUACAGAUAGUUAGACUUGGAUUUGUAGUUGUCAAAAAACACAGUUUUGAUUAAUUCCAGACCAGGUGCAUUCUGACCGAGAACUGCAUUUGUGGUCCUUAAAUUACACACUAGUAGAAGGAAGCAGAGGAUGAAACACAUUACAUUAGGACAGAACAAAAUGACCUUUUCCCUGCUCUUCACACUUUAUUUGCUCCCACAACUCCCAGGUCAGUUCAGCUCUUUGAGGCAUGAAGGGGGGAUCUGCCUUGAGGAAACAAUGACUUUCAAUAUCAGUGAAGCAUCAUUUCUCGUUGGUUAUGAUCUUCUGCCUUCAGCUAUUUGUGGGAUCAAUUGGGAGCUAACCCAUUAGGACUAUCAGAAUUGUGUCUGCUUUUGUCACCCAAGGACACUGGGUGACUCUGGUUUUAGGGGACUUGAGCUGAUAGUUCUGAAAGCUUCAAUCUCUAACCUAACCAAUCUUUGUCUGGUGUGAUUGUCUAGGAAUUCAGUGCAUCUACGGUCUCAGCAUGAUUUUAUUAAUGGAGAAGCUAUAAAACACCUCUGAAAUAAUGGUUGACCUUUGGUAAACACUAAUGAUGGACUGACACUGUAUACCUUAACUUUGUGUGCUAUUGUAAUCCUCACCGAAUCCUGUCCUUCUUAUGGAUGAAUAAACAGAACAUUACAGAGGUUAAUAACCAACCCCCCCCACACACACACACACCCCUAGAUCUCUAAGAUUUAAGCUUCCUCUUCUACAUCCCUAGGUCAUUGCCAAAGUCCUAAAGAAGUAAUUUCCUCCCCCAGCCAGUAGACUUUUAGGCUUAAUGAACUUUUAGUAUAUUCAACAGAGGUACACAUUUUAUCUUUAACUCUAAGAUGUAACUUUCAGGUGGAAUUCUGGCCCUUUGUAAUUUAUGCAGUCAGCGGGUCUUAGUUAGAGGGGGCAGAUUUGAGUGCCAUCUGAGCUCAGCUGAAGCUGUGGGCUCCACAUUCCCUUCUCUGUGCACCUGUGGAAUGGAAUGGGCUGCAUGGGACCUUUCAUAUGUGAGAUCUAAACAGCUAAAAGAACAUUGGACAGCAGCUACUUCUCCUCACUCUGGGAGCUGGUGCAGGUUACUUCUGUUCUUGCAGCUCAUUCAUGCCACUCCCACCACUGUAGGGUAGGACAGCAGCUUCUCCGGCUUCUCUGCCUCCCUUAAGAGAUGUGUUUGGCCUCCUAAUGGACUCCAGCGUCUUCAGAAAGUACCAGAUUACUGACAUUGGAAGCUUGGGGCAGAAAGAUAAUGCUGAUUCUGAUCUCUCCCUGUGAGCUCCUUUGUUUAGGCCUCACUGCCAUCUCUAUUUCCCAAAUGCUUUCUCUGAGAAUGUCAAGGCUUUCAGCACUAGACAUAGAAGCAACCAGCUGUGACCAGCCCCCAGAAUUAAGGAGGAUCAAAUUCUUACAUUAAAUCCCAUAUUAAAUAAAUUAUAAAUUAGCUUAAAUUAAAAUAAUUUGUUUUUAGCAUUCUUCUCUAAUUGAACCUUGAGUGGUUCCUUAUUCCUUUCGAAGGUAAAGACUUUUUUGCAAUUUUAAAGGGGCCAUUUUCCAGAUCAUUAGCUUUCUGUCUACUCAUUGCUAAAAUCUAUUUGUGAGCCAGCAUUGGUCUUCGCAAUACCAGUUUUGUUCUCUAGGAGGAGAACAGAGCUAGGAGUGCCCAUGUUGUACAGAGGAGUGAUGUUCACAGAAACAGAGGUAGUGGGAGUCAGACAUUGCAGAUGCCACAAGUCUUCCUCAGCUCAGAGAAGAAACUCCAGAGUCAAGACUUCUCUUAUAAGUCCCCAUGUUGGGUGGAAAUGACACAGUAUGAGUCAGCCUUAUUCAGUCAUUGGAUGUGACCACACAUAGAAAGCAAGGGAAUGCACAUGCUGAGGGUGGGGACUUCUCAGUCCAUCAGCGUCAGGACAGAGACCUGUGCUUUUUCAGUCUUCCAGUGUUUCUCCACACCCCUGGGGGGCGGGGGAAUCAUUUUUAGGCGUUAGCUCCAACCAUUUCCUUAUUGUAAAAACACCACAGGAGUCCUUCAUGGAUAUUUACAUACUGAAUGUACAUUUGUGCUGUAUACAAGAAAGAGUAAAUUUUUUCAUUCCCCAGGAAUCAUGUUUUGAUCCAUUGGGCACAACAUAACUACAAUUAGGGAUGCAUUACCAGAUCAAAAGAGCUUAUAUCUGAUCCAUAAGCAACAGACACAGAAAGAAACUGGGUCUGCAUGGGCUUUUGAAACCUCAAAGUCCACCACCAGUAAAGUGGCUCCCCCAACAAGGCCCCACCUCUUAAUCCUUCCCAAAUAGUUCCACCAGCUAAAGACCAAACAUUUAAAUAUAUGAGCAUAUGAAGGCCAUUCUCAUUAUAAUCACUAGCUAGCAAAGACUUUUUAUUAAUAGUAAGUGUGUCACUCCCAAAUGGAGGUGGGAUGAUUGAUGGCCUUUCUGGGAGGAGCUCUGGAUUUGACACACCUAGAAAGCAGACAAAGUGUUGAUUCUCUUUAUGUGAAUUGGAAUGUUCUUCAGGACAAUUACAAAUGCUGAAAAACUUUGAAUGACUUAGAAAAUGUUUACAUGAUUCCUUUCAAAUUUGGAGUGUUUUGUUCCUUGGGGAGGGAAGACCUGUUUUUUCCAAUAAUAUCAUCCUAGUUAUGGUUGAUCAUCUCAUUUUACCUUAUGUUGGAAAUUUUCAUAUGUCAACUGAAAAUAUGUGAAGGGUUACGUAACUCAAAUUCUUUUGGGGGUUAUGUAAGCAAAACAUUUGAAGAUCUCUAGAAUAAGAUGAUAUUAUUUCAAGUAAAACAAGCUAACUCUUUGUGUGUUCCUCCAGUUUCUUUCCUCCUGAGGAACCUGGUGCUAACUAUAGACAACUAACACACUUGGGAAAUUGUAGGCAAGAUGACAACUAUUAACUUCUGUCAGGAAGAACGAAGUUUAUUUCAGCAACAUUUUCUUUUUUCUUUU